rnacentral:tRNA from 1 species
AGCUGAGUGGUAAAGCACUUGUCUUAAGAACCGAUGAUCCCGGGUUCGAAUCCUGG